rnacentral:rRNA from 1 species
UGGGGCCUUGCCCUAAUACUGGCAAGUUCGAGCCGACAGAAUGGGAGCUUGCUCCCUGAUGUUAGCGGCGGACGGGUGAGUAACACGUGGGUAACCUGCCUGUAAGACUGGGAUAACUCCGGGAAACCGGGGCUAAUACCGGAUGGUUGUUUGAACCGCAUGGUUCAAACAUAAAAGGUGGCUUCGGCUACCACUUACAGAUGGACCCGCGGCGCAUUAGCUAGUUGGUGAGGUAAUGGCUCACCAAGGCAACGAUGCGUAGCCGACCUGAGAGGGUGAUCGGCCACACUGGGACUGAGACACGGCCCAGACUCCUACGGGAGGCAGCAGUAGGGAAUCUUCCGCAAUGGACGAAAGUCUGACGGAGCAACGCCGCGUGAGUGAUGAAGGUUUUCGGAUCGUAAAGCUCUGUUGUUAGGGAAGAACAAGUACCGUUCGAAUAGGGCGGUACCUUGACGGUACCUAACCAGAAAGCCACGGCUAACUACGUGCCAGCAGCCGCGGUAAUACGUAGGUGGCAAGCGUUGUCCGGAAUUAUUGGGCGUAAAGGGCUCGCAGGCGGUUUCUUAAGUCUGAUGUGAAAGCCCCCGGGCUCAACCCGGGGAG